GGAUGCGAUCAUAUCAGCACUAACGCAACGGAUCCCAUAAGAACUCCAAAGUUAAGCGUGCUUGGGCGAGAGUAGUACUAGGAUGGGUGACCCCCUGGGAAGUCCUUGUGUUGAAUCCC
rfam:Nicotiana attenuata strain TT scaffold02421, whole genome shotgun sequence.